rnacentral:tRNA from 1 species
GGCUCAGUGGCCAAGUGGUAAGGUGUCGGUGUAGUAAACCGGAGAUCCAGGGUUCGAUCCCCUGCUGAGCCU